UUUUCAGCCUUUUCACCUCUUAUCAGCACAAUUGUCAGCAGCUUCUGCUCAUUUCAGCAGAAUUGUCCAUCUCUCCACCGCUUCUUUGUAAGAAUGACUUUGGCUCAGGGAAAUGAAUAGCCGCCUUUGAGCAGAAAUUCUGCUGAUUCAUCUCUUUUCAGCGCAACUUAUUGCUUCUUUACCUCUUUUCUGCAGAAAUUCUGCUGAUUCACCUCUUUUCUGCAAAAUUUUCAGCCUUUUCACCUCUUAUCAGCACAAUUGUCAGCAGCUUCUGCUCAUUUCAGCAGAAUUGUCCAUCUCUCCACCUCUUCUUUGUAAGAAUGACUUUGGCUCAGGGAAAUGAAUAGCCGCCUUUGAGCAGAAAUUCUGCUGAUUCAUCUCUUUUCAGCGCAACUUAUUGCUUCUUUACCUCUUUUCUGCAGAAAUUCUGCUGAUUCACCUCUUUUCUGCAAAAUUUUCAGCCUUUUCACCUCUUAUCAGCACAAUUCUCAGCAGCUUCUGCUCAUUUUCAGCAGAAUUGUGAGUUUUUUCACCCCUUUUCAGCACAAAUCCCAGAUUUUUCAGGUGUUUUCAACAGAAAUCUCUUUUUCAGCAGACAUUCUGCUGAUUCACCUUUUUUCAGUGCAACUACUUCUUUACCUCUUUUCAGUAGAAAUUCUGCUGAUUCACCUAUUUUAAGCAGAAUUUUCAGCCUUUCACCUCUUAUCAGUACAAAUCUCAGUAUCUUCUGCUCAUUUCAGAAGAAACCUUUUCACCUCUCCUCUUUUCAGUACAAAUUUGAACUUCUUUACACCUUUUAAGCAGAAUCAUUGCCUUUCCACCUCUUUUCAGCAAAAGUUUCUGUUUUUUCACGUGUAUUUAGCAGAAUUUUUCAGUUUCUUUACUGCCAUACAAUUUUUGCAGCUUUUCAUCUUUUUCAGUCAUUUUUAUCAGUACAAAUCUCAGUAUCUUCUCCUCAUUUCAGAAGAAACCUUUUCACCUCUCCUCUUUUCAGUACAAAUUUGAACUUCUUUACACCUUUUAAGCAGAAUCAUUGCCUUUCCACCUCUUUUCAGCAAAAGUU
rnacentral:lncRNA from 1 species